rnacentral:rRNA from 1 species
UACGAAGGGGGCUAGCGUUGCUCGGAAUUACUGGGCGUAAAGGGCGCGUAGGCGGACAGUUUAGUCAGAGGUAAAAGCCCAGGGCUCAACCUUGGAACUGCCUUUGAUACUGGCUGUCUUGAGUUCGGGAGAGGUGAGUGGAAUGCCGAGUGUAGAGGUGAAAUUCGUAGAUAUUCGCAAGAACACCAGUGGCGAAGGCGGCUCACUGGCCCGGUACUGACGCUGAGGUGCGAAAGCGUGGGGAGCAAACAGG